UACAGGGGGUGCAAACGUUGCUCGGAAUUAUUGGGCGUAAAGCGCGCGUAGGCGGCUACUUAAGUCGGAUGUGAAAGCCCCUGGCUCAACUGGGGAAGUGCACCCGAAACUGAGUGGCUUGAGUACUAAAGAGGGUCGCGGAAUUCCCGGUGUAGAGAUGAAAUUCGUAGAUAUCGGGAGGAACACCGGUGGCGAAGGCGGCGACCUGGGUAGAUACUGACGCUGAGGCGCGAAAGCGUGGGGAGCGAACAGG
rnacentral:rRNA from 1 species